rnacentral:rRNA from 1 species
GGCGAACGGGUGAGGAACACGUAAGAAUCUACCUUUCGGUUGGGGAUAACUUCUGGAAACGGGAGCUAAUACCCAAUAUGCUGUGGAGUGAAAGAAUUUCGCCGAGAGACGAUCUUGCGUCUGAUUAGCUUGUUGGGGUGGUAAUGGCACACCAAGGCGACGAUCAGUAGCUGGUCUGAGAGGAUGGACAGCCACAUUGGGACUGAGACACGGUCCAAACUCCUACGGGAGGCAGCAGUGGGGAAUUUUCCGCAAUGGACGAAAGUCUGACGGAGCGACGCUGCGUGAAGGAUGAAGGCCCGUGGGUUGUAAACUUCUUUUCUCGAAGAAGAAUAAAUGACGGUAUUCGAGGAAUAAGCAUCGGCUAACUCUGUGCCAGCAGCCGCGGUAAGACAGAGGAUGCAAGUGUUAUUCGGAUUGAUUGGGCGUAAAGCGUCUGUAGGCGGUUUGGAAAGUCUUUUGUGAAAUUCUUCAGCUCAACUGGGGGUCCGCAAAAGAAACUUCUAGGCUUGAGGGAAGUAGAGGUACAGGGAAUUUCCGGUGGAGCGGUGAAAUGCGUAGAUAUCGGAAGGAACACCAAUAUGGCGAAGGCACUGUACUGGGCUUUACCUGACGCUAAGAGACGAAAGCUAAAGGAGUGAUUAGGAUUAGAUACCCUAGUAAUUUUAGCCGUAAACGAUGGAAACUCACUGCCGAGCCGGUAUUCGGAGCGGUGGUCAAGCUAACGCGUGAAGUUUCCCGCCUGGGGACUACGCAUGCAAAUGUGAAACUCAAAGGAAUUGACGGGGACCCGCACAAGCGGUGGAGUAUGUGGUUUAAUUCGAUGCAACGCGAAAAACCUUACCAAGGUUUGAAAUCAUUUCAAAACUCUUUGAAAGAAGAGCCUCCUUCGGGAUGGAAUGACAGGUGGUGCAUGGCUGUCGUCAGCUCGUGUUGUGAAAUGUCAAGUUAAGUCUUGUAACGAGCGCAACCCAUGUCUUUUGUUGCUGUUUACAGUGCUUAAAAGAGACUGCCGCUCUACAGCGGAGGAAGGUGUGGAUGAUGUCAAGUCAGCAUGCCCCUUAUAUCUUGGGCUACACACGUACUACAAUG